AAUUCCAGUGCCACAUCUUCCUCUAUGGUUUGUCAAAACUACACAUUAUUAUUCCCAAUUGCUAAUUAUUGCUCUAACUAGUAAAUCAAAUGAAUACAAUAUUUGUCACAUUAUCACUGUCUUGAGAAAUUACAUUUUUAUUGUCUUUCACAUGUAUAAAUAUUGUGCUUUAGCACAUGUUUCUUUUGCUGGAAACUCUUUAAGACAAAAUUUCUUUCCUUAAGAAUUUUAAAAUGAAACGAAUGAACUAAAGACUGCUGAAUCUUAUGGCAAAGACAGUGAAUAUUCUGAAGAUGUGAAUCAUGAGCGCCGACGACGACGUUGAUAACCUUGAUCAACAAGAAUUAGACAGUGUUUUAUGUACUAAAGAAGUUGCGACCGAUUGUUGAAAUUCAUAUUCCAUUGGAAUCCUACAGUGGCAGUACGGCUCUACGAACGAACGAUUUGUCUCUGAAUCUAGACAGUAAAUAUCAAUAUGCUGCCCUGUUGAAGUGCUAGAAAUCCUACGGAGAGGAAUCAAAUCAAGUUAAUGAUACCAAUUCACUCCAGGAAACAAAUCAAGAUGAACUAAAUGGACUUGAAUUAAUAGACCUUGAGGUCAGUAAUCUCUUUGAGGACAGCAGACAGAAUAUGGACUAUCAUCUUGAUUUUAUGUCGGUUCCUCCAGAACUUUGAUUACUGUAAUUUGUUAUGGCAUGUCGAAAUACAAUUUGUCUUUUUACAACCAUUGAAA